rnacentral:rRNA from 1 species
UACAGAGGGUGCAAGCGUUAAUCGGAUUUACUGGGCGUAAAGGGCGCGUAGGUGGUUAUUUAAGUGAGAUGUGAAAGCCCCGGGCUUAACCUGGGAACUGCAUCUUAUACUGGGUAACUGGAGUGCAAUAGAGGGUAGUGGAAUUUCCGGUGUAGCGGUGAAAUGCGUAGAUAUCGGAAGGAACACCAGUGGCGAAGGCGGCUACCUGGAUUGACACUGACACUGAGGCGCGAGAGCGUGGGGAGCAAACAGG